UACGGAGGGUGCAAGCGUUAUCCGGAUUCACUGGGUUUAAAGCGUGUGUAGGUGGAUGCCUAAGUACCUUGUGAAAUCCCACAGCUUAACUGUGGAACUGCUUGGUAUACUGGGUGUCUUGAGUCACUCAGGGGCGAGCGGAACAAAUGGUGGAGCGGUGAAAUGCGUAGAUAUCAUUUGGAACGCCAAUGGUGAAAACAGCUCGCUGGGGGUGCACUGACACUGAGACACGAAAGCCAGGGGAGCGAACGGG
rnacentral:rRNA from 1 species